rnacentral:rRNA from 1 species
UACGUAGGCAGCAAGCGUUGUUCGGAGUUACUGGGCGUAAAGGGUGCGUAGGUGGCUCUAUAAGUAUGGUGUGAAAUCUCCCGGCUUAACUGGGAGGGUGCGCCGUAGACUGUGGGGCUAGAGUGUGGGAGAGGAAAGUGGAAUUCCUGGUGUAGCGGUGAAAUGCGUAGAUAUCAGGAGGAACACCGGUGGUGUAAACGGCUUUCUGGACCGUAACUGACGCUGAGACACGAAAGCGUGGGUAGCAAACAGG